AUACUAACCUGGCAUGGAAGAUACCAUAAUCACAAAAGUGGUUUUUCUAGGGAGAGGAUUAUUCAUUACAUUCUGCACGUGCUGUCUACUGUGGUUUUCCCCAAUUGCAGGAUAUUCAACUGCACAAUUUGAGGUAAUGGAAGACUGCAUUCAUCUCUCCCC